GAAUAUUGGACAAUGGGCGCAAGCCUGAUCCAGCCAUGCCGCGUGAAGGAUGAAGGCCCUAUGGGUCGUAAACUUCUUUUAUACGGGAAAAAACCCCCGAUUGCGAUCGGGGUUGAUGGUACUGUAAGAAUAGGGGUCGGCUAACUUCGUGCCAGCAGCCGCGGUAAUACGAAGGACCCGAGCGUUAUCCGGAUUUAUUGGGUUUAAAGGGUGCGCAGGCGGACUAAUAAGUCAGUGGUGAAAGCCUGAUGCUUAACAUCAGAACUGCCAUUGAUACUGUUAGUCUUGAGUACGGUUGAGGUGGGCGGAGUGUGUCAUGUAGCGGUGAAAUGCUUAGAUAUGACACAGAACACCAAUUGCGAAGGCAGCUCGCUAAACCGUAACUGACGCUGAGGCACGAAAGCGUGGGGAGCAAACAGG
rnacentral:rRNA from 1 species